CCACCAGCUGGGCGGGGUGCUGGCUGCUGCUGCUCCUGGCGGCGGCCGGCGCCGGCACGGCCGUCGAAGCGGCCCUGGUCAUC
rnacentral:tRNA from 1 species